CAACCCUCAAGCCCGGCUUGGCCUUGGGCGCCGCCAGCGAUGGCGCGCCCCAAACCCAGUGGCGGCGCCGUCUGGCCCUAAGCGUAGUAACUCAUCUCGCUACAGGUGCCCGGCGGACGCUGGCCAGCAACCCCCACUUCUCA
rnacentral:misc_RNA from 1 species